ensembl:snRNA U2 U2 spliceosomal RNA
AUCGCUUCUCGGCCUUUUGGCUAAGAUCAAGUGUAAAAUACCUGUUUAAGAUCCUGCUUUCAAAUCUUUUACAUAUGUGCAGAAUUAAUAGAUUAUAUAGUAUUUCAAUUUUUAAUUUCUUGAGGAACUGCCACACUGUUUUCCAUAGUGGCUACACCAU